rnacentral:rRNA from 1 species
GACGAACGCUGGCGGCGUGCUUAACACAUGCAAGUCGAACGGAAAGGCCCUGCUUUUGUGGGGUGCUCGAGUGGCGAACGGGUGAGUAACACGUGAGUAACCUGCCCUUGACUUUGGGAUAACUUCAGGAAACUGGGGCUAAUACCGGAUAGGAGCUCCUGCUGCAUGGUGGGGUUGGAAAAUUUCGGCGGUUGGGGAUGGACUCGCGGCUUAUCAGCUUGUUGGUGGGGUAGUGGCUUACCAAGGCUUUGACGGGUAGCUGGCCUGAGAGGGUGACCGGCCACAUUGGGACUGAGAUACGGCCCAGACUCCUACGGGAGGCAGCAGUGGGGAAUAUUGCACAAUGGGCGGAAGCCUGAUGCAGCAACGCCGCGUGCGGGAUGACGGCCUUCGGGUUGUAAACCGCUUUCGCCUGUGACGAAGCGUGAGUGACGGUAAUGGGUAAAGAAGCACCGGCUAACUACGUG